GCAACAUCAUGAGCACUGGAUACUGCUGUUAAAAUGACUGGUUUCUUUUUGCAGGAACAUGUUUCAAGAGACUCACAAACUUGGCACUGCAUUUGGAGAAGUUUGUCAUUACAACAGGGAUAAAUUCUGUUGUUCUCCAUACAUUUUUGACAUACCGUGCCCCGGAUCCAGGAAAUAAACUCUUUUCUGGAUUCAUGAUUGCAGUUGUGCUAUUAGAAGAUUUAAUUUCAGUUUGUUUUUCAGCACUUUUCUGGGACAUGAGGAUUCUAUCUGAAAAUUUAGACUUUGAAAUGUUCUUUCUGAUUCUCACACAUAGUGCAUAUGGUUUCUCAGUGGUUAUCUUAUUUUGGUUUAUUCUGCCUCGUUUAUCUGUGGUGAUACACAUAUUGACUAUGAAUUUGCAAUCGCUAAAAU